GCUCCCGUCGUCUAGCGGUAAGGAUUAGGGGUUUUCGACCCCUCGACCCGGGUUCGAAUCCCGGCGGGAGCG
rnacentral:tRNA from 1 species